rnacentral:lncRNA from 1 species
AUGAAGACUUGACUAGGAAUAUUGACUUGACCAAAGACCAAGACUGUUGACUGAAUUUUGGAAAUUGUGUUCGCAGAAUUCCUUGGCUGGUCGCAUCCUUUUGCAUGAUCGACGGUCUCUGAAUUGCCAUCAGAUUUAUAUAUUAUACGUCAUUGGCUUGUUGCUGAACAAGGUCACAUCACUUUAUGUAUCCAAAUCAAGCUUCUUACAGAGUGAUUCAUCCUGGUGUUAUUGGAACGACGAAGAAGCUGUCCUAUUCCCAAACUGGGAAACUGGAAUCACCUGAUUAGAAAGUGGGAUAACUUCUUCAUCCCAACUCCUAUGAGAUUAAUUCAACUUCCUGGUGAUUCUCCAACACUUUAUGUAUCCAAAUCAAGCUUCUUACAAAGUGAUUCAUCCUGGUUUGAUUGGAACGACGAAGAAGCUGUCCUAUUCCCAAACUGGNNNN